GCAAGACAAUAAUUUUAAAAAAAAAUUGUUUCAGGCUGGGUCACCUUUUCUCAGAGGGAAGGGCAGGGAGUCUUAUCAUGCAGAUUACCUCACUAGUGCUGAACAGGAAAUUCCAGACUGAUUGGUUUAAAAUUCCAUUCCUGGGAGAGGCUGAAACUGCUGUGUGGGUUAGUUAUUAAGUCUAGGUGAAGUCUGGCAGAAGUGACUCCAUUUGGGGCUUGUUGUUUGUUUUUAAAGUGGGAUUUGCGUUGAAAAAGAAAUCCUGUUCUGUGGCUGUUGCUCAGAUUUCCUCUCAAACAUCAUUUUCGUUUAUGCACAAUUGCAGCAUGGUUUCCAGCCUUCGUAUAUAAGUCAUGGUGUGACAAAGGUGAAGGACUGCCUGCUAACACAACAUAAAUUGGAAAUAGGUGGAUAUAGGAGAAGAGCAUCAAUUUGGGCAGCAGAGGCAGAGGAAGAUAGACGAUUUAAGGAAAGGAUGACAACAUUUGAAUUGGAGAAAGAUAGGUGAUUUAAGGAAAGGAUGACAGCAUUUGAAUUGGAGAAAGAUCCAUGGAGGCUACAGGACUUGAAAUAGUCACUCUUCUUUUUUCUUCUCUAUGUCAAACCCAGAGCUUCUUCUCUUACAGGUGCCUUUUUUCUUUUGUAAUAGGACCAUUUACUAGGUUAGGUUGAAAAGGGAAAUUUUUACACAUACAUCUAACACCUGGAAAAACACAUCCUAUAAUUCAAGUAGGUAGGUUUUCACAUCUUAAGAGAAAUCCUGUCAGUGGAUCUCAUGGGGAUUCUUUCACCAGUGAAAUUUCUAUGUACCUAAUAGUUUAGAGAUACUUGGGUAUUCUUGGAACUUAUGCAUUGAUCUCAAGAAUCUCUCCCUAAUAUGUUAUAAUAGUUCAGUAUCAAUUGAAUCAAAUUUCAAAGUUUUAUGAAAGAAAACAGAGACUACAAUGAGAGUGAAUGAUUCAGCCACUUGACUUAGUUUCUACUAUGUUUUCUGUGUAUUUCUGUAGCUUCGUAUUUUUUUUUUUUUUUUUUUUUUUUUUUUUGCUAUUCAGAUUUGAAGUAUUAUAAACUCUACUCCAUGUGUAACAUAGCUUUGAUGAAAUAAAGUAUUCAGGUAACCAGGUAGAUUAGUGAGAUCACUGAGAAUACUAAGUUGGUUGUUAAGAAGGGUUGUUAGUUUGUCAUGUCCCUCUGCAUUAUUUCUCUUGAUUCUUGCCCACAUGCCUCAAAGAUUUGGAGAUGUGGGCAGUUUGGCAGGGGACUUUUCUGGCUGGGAAGUGCAUCAGCAGUGCCAGGAAAGAGCCAGUUGUCUCAUGACCUAGGGAUGGAGGCAGGCAGGCUCUCUAGGCAGGAGCAUUCAGUGUAGAAUGGGAGUGGCUCUGGGUCAAAGGGAAUUCCUCUCAAACCAACAGCACCUUAGGUCGAAAGUUACUUUUAAUGAGCCCUUCUGGUUGGGGUCCAUCUCUCCCAGUGAAAAACAUUCCCACUGAUUGCCUUGGAGAUCACAACCAACUUUGAAUCAAGUUCAUAGCAAUGUACAGCAAAUUUUAUUUAUACUCUCACAGAGAGAGUGGGCAUCCUGGAGUGGGGACUGGCUCUGUGUAUAGCUGGAUCUUUCCUUAUACCCCAUACAGUGGACAUAUUCAGGGACUUGAAUUCUCCCAUCCCAGGCUCACUAAUUUUUUUCUGUCCCAGCCCCCCUGCAUCGUGCAUAAGGGCUGAGUGUAGUUUGACCUCUGUAUGGAGCCACACUGUGAUCCUCUGAUUGAUUUCAUGGGGAGUGUGUUAUAGGGAAGUGCUCUCCAAAAAGCAUGGCUCAUUUGAAUAGAGCAGUGCUCUCCAAGGAGCAUGCCUCUAGUAUCUGUGUGUGUCCUUAUUGUCUGGUCAUAGGCCUCCUGUUUUUGGUCAUGAUGAAUGGCCUGUUCUGGGUACCCGUGUAUGAUUCCCUAGCCUUUCCUACCUAACCAGUUGUUAGGGAGAGAGCUAAGAGAAGGUGGCUGAAGAAGUUUCCAGAGAUUCAGCGUAAACAACUUUUGAUGAGAACUGUGUUGAUUAGUCUGCUCAGACUGCCACAGCAAAAUACCACCAACUGGAUGGCUUUAAAAAAGUAUCCUCUCACAGUUUAGGAAGCUAGACGUCCAAGACCAAGGUCCCAGCUGCCUCACUUUUUGGCGAGGAUGUUUUCCUGGCUUGCAGACAGCCUCCUUGUCACUAUAUCCCCAAAUGGCCUUUCCUGGAUGUGCUCAUGGUGUCCCUUCUUAUAAAGACAUUGUUCCUAUCGGAGCAAGACCCGCACAUUACAUCAUUUAACCUUCGUUGCUUCCUUAGAGGCUCCAUUUCUAAAUGUAGCCACACUGACCACUAGGACUUCAACAUAUGCAUUUGGGGAGGGGGGAGGAAGUCCAUUAAUUUCAUAACACUGGGCAUCUCACUGUAAGCUAUAAACCAAGAAGGAGUAGUCAAACGUGUUUCUCAAAUCCAGUUUCUUAGCCACCUGUGUUCAACUCAUCUACCAAAUCCAGGGGUUCUACUCACAUAUUUACUGAAAUAACUUCUAGGAUUUGGACAAAAAUACCAGUUUUAAAUAAGACAAGGUGAUUAAUUUAUAUACCAAAUAUUGAGAAUCAUAACUUUAAAAACUUAAAAAGAGUUGAUACCAGAGGCAAUUGGAAGCUUCCUUCAGAGAGAGUAUUUUAUUGAGCACUUACUAACUUCUGUGUAUAAAUGCAAGUGUUGACAAGGAAGAAUUUUUUUUUUCCCUUCUAAGAAUUAAGUUUACAUGAGAUGAAUUAACAGGAGAAAAAAAUUAAUGAUAUCUAUACAAGGGAGAGACCCAGGAAAACUGAAGAACCCCUAAAAAGACAAAAGAGGAUGGGAGGGCCUGGUGUGGCUCAGCAGGUAAGAACCCAACACAGUGUCUGUGAGGAUGCAGGUUUGAUCCCUAUACUUGCUCACUGGGUUAAGGAUCCAGUGUUGCUGCAAACUGUGGUGUAGGUCACACAGAUGCAGCUCAGAUCCCAUGUUACUGUCGUUGUGGAGUAGGCCGGCCACUGCAGCUCUGAUUCUAACCUUAGCCUAGGAACUUCCAUAUGCUACAGGUAUGGCCAUUAAAAAAAGAGAAAAAUUAAAUGAAGAGUCCAUUGGGGGCAGUGGUUUGGGACUUCAAAGGGAAGAAUCACAUUUAUAUGGAAAAACAAAUUUUUGGUAAAUAAUUGUUUGUUGGGCCAUGAAGAGACAAUAGUGGACUUUGGUCCUAAAUCACGUUGAGUUUCACCACCACACCUAGCUCAUACUCUUGGCAAAUACCUCUGGUGUUAGCUUUCAUCUGGAAUAGGACCUUUAUCCAAUGAGGUAGUUAAGACAGAUGUAACGAGAACAAUUUCCUGAGUCAUCUUUUAUGUAUUUAUUUUUGAAAAUUUAUUUUUAUCUAAAUUUUUAAAAAUUGAGGUAUCAUGGACUUACAAUAUGAUAUUAGUUUCAGGUGUAAAACGUAGUGAUUUGAUCAUUUUAUAGAUUACAUACCAUAAAAAGUUAUAAUAUCAUUCACUCUAUUCCCUUUGAUGAACAUUACAUCCUAUGAAGUAUUUACUUUAUCACUAGUGGUUUGUACCUCUUAACCCCUUUCACUGUUAUACCCAUCCCCUAACCUAAUCCCCUUUGGCAACCAACAGUUCAUUCUUUGUAUUUCUAUUUUCAUUUGUUUCAAAGUAUUUUUCAAUUUUUUGAUUUCUUUGUUAAUUCAUUUGUUUUUUAGUAGCAUGUGGUUUAGUUUCAAUGUGUUUGUGUUUUUUUCCCUCUUUAUUCCUUUAAUUUAUUCCUAAUUUUAUGCUAUCAGUUCACUAAAGAUGCUUGAUAUGGUUUCAAACUUCUAAAUAUAUUGAGACUUGUUUUGUGAUCUAGCAUGUGAUCUAUCCUGGAAAAUGUUCAAUAUUCACUUGAAAAGAAUAUAUAUGGGAGUUCCCAUCAUGGAUCAGUGGUAGCAAAUCUGACUAGUAUCCAUGGGGACACAGGUUUAAUCCCUGGACUUGCUCAGUGGGUUAAGGAUCUGGCGUUGCCAUGAGCUCUUGUGUGGGUUGCAAAUGUGGCUCAGAUCUGGCAUUGCCAUGGCUAUGGUAUAGGCCAGCAUCUACAGCUUCAAUUCAACCCCUAGCCUGGGAACCUCCAUAUGCUGAAGUUGUGGCCCUAAAAAGACACACACAGAAAAGAAUAUAUAUUGGGGAUGGAAUAUUCUAUAGGUAUUUAUAAAGUUCAUUUGCUCUAAUGUGUCAUUUAAGGCCAACGUUUCCUUAUUGAUUUUUCUGUCUGGAUAAUUUAUCCAUCAGUAUAACAGGGGUAUUAAUGUCUCCUACUAUUAUUACAUUACUGUCAAUUUUCUCACUUUUUAUUUGUUAAUAUUUGCUUUGUAUAUUUAAAUGCUCCUGUGUUAGGUGUUCAUUUUCCUGGUGGCAGUCCCAGGCCUGGGAUGACUAGUGUGGGUCUCAAAGCAAAGGGUUUCUUCCUUAUGGUGGAUCUCCAAGCUUUUCUCCUUCUUAAUGUGUCUUUUUUUUCCCUUUAUAUCCUUAAUUGUAGAAGAGCUGUUUUGCUGGUCUUCAUGUUGGUCUCAGAGUUGUUCUAUAUGUAGCUGUAGUUUUGGUAUAUUUCUGACGAGGUGAACUCAAAUUCUUCCUACUCUACCAUGUUGAGUCUGCCACUCCCAAAUCUUCUAUUUAUUAAAAAUAAUCAGCCUAAAUCAUUCUUUAUGCCAAGGAGACACAUAUUGGGGUAGCAAAUUUUGCUACCCUACAGUUUCACCUCUGAAAUUUCUUAGAGAAAUUCAGAAGCUGAAUUGGUAGAUUGUUCCACCAUAUUGGGUCAGUAACUUAGUCCUCACAAAAGUCAGUCAAGUUAAAUUCAUUUCAGGAGAUGCUGACGCAGUUGGGCUCUCAAAGUUAGGUCUGUAAUAUACAAUCAGAUUUUUAAUAAUAUGCAUUUCUAUGGAGGUGAAAGGACAACAAUAGUUAAUAAUUGGAAUAAAUUAUCAACCCAGUCUCUGAAUCCUGAGAGUUGCCAGUUGAAAAGAUUUCUAGAUGUCAGGCUUGAAACAUUUUCAGAUGGAGUGAGGGCAGUCAGUGACAGUCUAACAGAUUUUCCUGGGUUUUGAGUGUCUCUGAUGAUGUCAUUGAUUGUUUGGGUAAACUUUCUGAGUGGUUUACAUAGCAACAUGCACAAAUGUUGUCUAAACAUGGACUUUUGUGGUGAUCUCUCAAGUUUACAUCAAAUCAUUCAGCUUCCGUUUGCAGGGCUUCAGGAAAAGGAUAGCUUUUAAUUUCAAUCAUUCUGAGUAAAAUGUGGGAGAAAAAUUUGAAACUGUAGUUUGGAGAGUCUUAGCCAAAUAUUUGAAGAAACUAGAAGAAUUCAUGAUCCAGUCCAGUUUACAGAUGGAAAAACAAAAUCUCAAAGAUGAUUUACAGAAGUAGAAUCUAAUAUCCACAAUUGCGUAUUAUAGUUUCCACUGAAAGAUACUUUUCUUCUCUCUAAAAUCACCAUUAUUUUUACCAAAGAUAGCCAAAUUAAUGCUAAUUCAAUUGUAAAAUAAGCCUAGUUCAAUAAACUUGCCCUUAUUAUUUACAUAAUUCCCAUAAGAAUAGUGAUUGAUCAUAUGGGCUCCCUUAAACGUGCUUUGCUGGAAUGUUCAUGAGGAAUCUUCAGACUGAACUUUUUAAAGCCUCUUAAGGCUAGGAAACCAAGUCAGUAACUUGACAGCACAAUCAUCUGUAAUACCUAUGGAUCUGAGUGAAUGCUUCUCUUUUGAGGUCCCCCAAAUCUCCUAAGGUUCCUGUACUUGCCAGGAAGUGUCCUUCCUUAAUCAUCUGGUAAGGUGCUUACACCUUCUAAGCAAUAUACUAGGCUGUUUUUCCAAGGAACUUUCUGGCUUCAUAAAGUCAAACUUAGUUCCAUAAAUCCAUGUUGUCCUAUGUGAUUCAAUGCACUUUCUCAAAUAUGAUAUUGCAGUCAAAGCUUUGGUAAUAUAACCAAUGGUUCCAAUGGUGUCUUGUUACAAGGAGAACAGAUUCUCAGUGAAUUUAUGUAAAAAAACUAUAUUGCCAUGAAUAUAAGAAUAUGAAGAGUUGCCAAAUUCUGCAGGGAUCAGGUAGGGAAGAAAAGAUAAAUAUUUCAGUUUUGCUUACAAAUGUAUGAUUUACCAAACUGCUGUGACUUAUAUUUAGCAUAAAGGGAAAGCUUUCUUUAUAUGUGGAAAACAAAGAUUAAAAAGCAUUAAUAUUUCUGAAAACAUGUCAUGAAAAUUACAAUCAUAUUCAUCAUUUCAUCCAGCUCUAUGUAAUUACUUCUUGCUGAUCUUGGUCUUUUGUUAACAGGUUUAUGAGGCCAUCAGUUUUUCCAAUAGAGCUCUAUUUUCUUUCCAAGUUCGGUAGUAUAAUGUGAAAGUUAUCAUAAAUCUGUAUUUGUCAAAAAUCCUUGAUGAAUCUUCUUGAAGAUGAUGCAUUUUUGCAAAAGUGUCAAAACCACAAUUGUCUACAAAUGCAGAGAGACCUGAAAUGGCAUAGUAAAGAUCCAAUUCGUUAUAAUUUGCUUGACAAGGAAAUUUGUUCAUUUUUGUGACACAUAGUAUUCUAAAAUAAGUGAAUUAUAACUGAUAGGAUUUUACCAGGACAUUAUCAGAAUUUAGGAAUUUCAUGUAAUUUCUAGAACAUGUAUAACUUUUACCAGUCAAUAUAGCCUAAGAAGGUUUAUCAUUGUUGAUUUGACAUUUCUCAUGUAAUUUAGUACAUCAAAUUGGCCUCUUUCAUAAGGAGUGAAAACAAAUCUUUUGAGCUGUUCUUGGGUCCCUAUUAAAAAAUCCCUAAAUUAUUUCCAGGUUGGUAAGACUUCAUUUAGAACUUGGUUUUGAGGAGUUUGUCAAAAAUUUCAAAAAAUUUUAAAACACUUAUUCAAACAAGAUGAAACAUCACUGAAAAAUAAUUUAAUAAUCCAUUUAAACAAAGGGACAAAGUGUAAUACUAGUAAAAAGCCUUAAAUCUUAAUAUUAACAGGCUUAAUCCAAGUAAUCAAAGACCAGAUACAAACAACCCAGGAAAUUAGUUUGAUAAAGCAUAAAAUUCCUGAUUUUAGGCAGACUAUCCAAAGGUAAAAUAAACAAAAUAAAAAAACAAACUUUUACUAUUUAUUUUCUGAGUAGACUUUUAUCUUUUUAGCCAAGAGAAAGUCAAAUUCUAAUUUUGAACCAGCUUACUUUGAUAUUAAAACUCAUUUACUUAAUUUAAUUUCAACCUUAGCCAAUUUCAUCAUGUAUAAAAACUCUUUUCUCUGUGUCCUUUCCUAUAAACCUUCAAGUUUCUAAGUCUAUUUUAGGUUAUCCUUUGUUCUUAAUUUUUUCCCCGUUCUUGAAAUAACCACCUUGGUCUAGGACAAAAUCAUUUUCAUUUCCUUCUACAAAAAUGCCUCUCUCGUCCUCAUAUUUUUCUUACCCCCAAAUAAUUUUACUCUCUUAAUAUACAAAUAUAGUAGGGGUGUGGAAAAAGAGAAUAGGGAGCUUGACAAUAGUGAACCAUCUUGCUGCUGCCAUCCAUCCUGGUGAACCUAAGGUGACCCUCAUGAGGCUCUGAGAAAAGCAAAGUCAUCAGGACUUGAGAAACUCCGGGCGCAGAUUGUCCUUGGGAUAUUCAAAAAUUGCUAGAUUGUACUUGAGGUUAAUCACUGAAGUAACAAUGUAAGACAUUCUGCCCAGCUAUACAUCUUUCUGUAUCCUAGUGACUAAAAGUUCAUGGAGCAUGUUAGGUAAGCAAGCACUGUAAGUGUAUCUCCCCCUUUCUGCUGGGGUCCAUGAUUGGGAAGCAAUUCCCCAAGGACCCGCAGGUGUGACAAAGCUCUUCUCCAUCUUCCUCGAGUGUCCUCUGAGGCGAUUUCUGGGAAUUCUACAACAAUAGGUAUUCCUUACUGUUUCUAGUGAUUUACUUAUUCACACAUAUUUUAGAUUUCUUAACCCUUAAAACACUUCAUUUCUAGUGAAAACUAAUAGGUGAACAAUUAUGAACUAUCUUUUAAAUUUGCAUUCUGUGGGCUGGCAGACUUAUAAAGACUUCUGAGAAAUAGGUGCUUUUUCAUAGAAAAUUUCUUAAUGUGGCAUAAAACAUGCUUAUUAAUAGACCCAAAUAUCUUCAAUUCCUCUUGUUGCUGAAACUUGGCCUCUUUCCACCAAUGCUGAAUAGAAACACAGAGGCAGUGUUUUGGGUGAAAGAGGAAAAAAUAGAUUUUCUUGCUUUGCCAGGUAAAGGAGGCUACAGCAGGCUAAUGCCUUCAAGACUCUGCCCUCCAUUGGGAAGCAUUUGGGGGACUUUAAUAAUAAAAAAAAAAAAAAAA
rnacentral:lncRNA from 1 species